rnacentral:rRNA from 1 species
CGGACGGGUGAGUAACGCGUAGGUAACCUGCCCUGGAGAGGAGGAUAACUCUGCGAAAGCGGAGCUAAUCCUCCAUAUGUUAGGGCAUCGUAAGAUGCCUUAAUGAAAGGCGGCAUUAAGCCGUCGUUGCAGGAUGGGCCUGCGUCGGAUUAGCUAGCUGGUAGGGUAAAGGCCUACCAGGGCGACAAUCCGUAGCUGGUCUGAGAGGACGAUCAGCCACACUGGGACUGAGACACGGCCCAGACUCCUACGGGAGGCAGCAGUGGGGAAUCUUCCGCAAUGGGCGCAAGCCUGACGGAGCGACGCCGCGUGAGUGAAGAAGGCCUUCGGGUCGUAAAGCUCUGUCAGUGGGGAAGAAGGCAGUCAUCAAGAAAAGGGUGACUGUUGACGGUACCCGCAAAGGAAGCCCUGGCCAACUACGUGCCAGCAGCCGCGGUAACACGUAGAGGGCAAGCGUUGUCCGGAAUUACUGGGCGUAAAGGGCGCGCAGGCGGCAAGGCAAGUCGGGUGUGAAAACCUGGGGCUUAACCCCAGGCGUGCAUUCGAAACUGUCUUGCUUGAGGACAGCAGAGGGAAACGGAAUUCCUGGUGUAGUGGUGAAAUACGUAGAUAUCAGGAGGAACACCAGUGGCGAAAGCGGUUUCCUGGGCUGAUCCUGACGCUGAGGCGCGAAAGCCGGGGGAGCGAACGGGAUUAGAUACCCCGGUAGUCCCGGCUGUAAACGCUGGACACUAGGUGUUGGGGGUUAAACUCCCUCAGUGCCGCAGUUAACGCAAUAAGUGUCCCGCCUGGGAAUUACGGUCGCAAGACUGAAACUCAAAGGAAUUGACGGGGGCCCGCACAAGCGGUGGAGCAUGUGGCU